AGUUCCGACCUGCACGAAUGGCGUAACGAUGGCCAUACUGUCUCCAACCGAGACUCAGUGAAAUUGAAAUUGCUGUGAAGAUGCAGUGUACGCGCGGCUAGACGGAAAGACCCCGUGCACCUUUACUACAGCUUUACACUGAACUUUGAAUCUAAUUGUGUAGGAUAGCUGGGAGCCUUUGAAGCUGAUGCGCUAGCAUUAGUGGAGGCAACCUUGAAAUACCAGCCUAUUAUCUUUGGAGUUCUAACCCAGGACCGUUAUCCGGUUCGGAGACAGUGUAUGGUGGGUAGUUUGACUGGGGCGGUCUCCUC
rnacentral:rRNA from 1 species